rnacentral:rRNA from 1 species
ACUCAAAGGAAUAGACGGGGACCCGCACAAGCGGUGGAUGAUGUGGAUUAAUUCGAUGCAACGCGAAAAACCUUACCUACCCUUGACAUGGUUCAAAUUUCUCAGAGAUGAGAAAGUGCUCGCAAGAGAAUGGAUACACAGGUGCUGCAUGGCUGUCGUCAGCUCGUGUCGUGAGAUGUUGGGUUAAGUCCCGCAACGAGCGCAACCCUUGUCAUUAAUUGCUACCAUUAGGUUGAGCACUUUAAUGAGACUGCCGGUGACAAACCGGAGGAAGGUGGGGAUGACGUCAAGUCCUCAUGGCCCUUAUGGGUAGGGCUUCACACGUCAUACAAUGGUGCAUACAGAGGGUUGCCAACCUGCGAAGGGGAGCUAAUCUCAGAAAGUGCAUCGUAGUCCGGAUUGUAGUCUGCAACUCGACUGCAUGAAGUUGGAAUCGCUAGUAAUCGCGGAUCAGCAUGUCGCGGUGAAUACGUUCCCGGGUCUUGUACACACCGCCCGU